rnacentral:rRNA from 1 species
UGGGGAAUAUUGCACAAUGGGGGAAACCCUGAUGCAGCGACGCCGCGUGAACGAAGAAGGUAUUCGUAUCGUAAAGUUCUGUCCUAUGGGAAGAUAAUGACAGUACCAUAGAAGAAAGCUCCGGCUAAAUACGUGCCAGCAGCCGCGGUAAUACGUAUGGAGCGAGCGUUGUCCGGAAUUAUUGGGCGUAAAGGGUACGCAGGCGGUUUAAUAAGUCGAAUGUUAAAGAUCGGGGCUCAACCCCGCAAAGCAUUGGAAACUGAUAAACUUGAGUAGUAGAUAGGAAAGUGGAAUUCCUAGUGGAGUGGUGAAAUACGUAGAUAUUAGGAGGAAUACCAGUAGCGAAGGCGACUUUCUGGACCCAAACUGACGCUGAGGUACAAAAGCGUGGGGAGCAAAAAGG